rnacentral:rRNA from 1 species
GACGAACGCUGGCGGCGUUCCUAAUACAUGCAAGUAGAACGCAGUUGCGAACGGGUGAGUAACGCGUAGGUAACUGCCUCAUAGCGGGGGAUAACUAUUGGAAACGAUAGCUAAUACCUCAUACUGUGAGAUGGACCUGCGUUGUAUUAGCUAUUUGGUUAGGUAAAUGCUCACCAAGGCGACGAUACAUAGCCGACCUGAGAGGGUGAACUGCAAAAAUGGGACUGCGACACGGCACAGACUCCUACGGGAAGGAGCAGUAGGGAAUCUUCGGGAAUGGACGGAAGUCUGACCGAGCAACGCCGGGUGAGUGAAGAAGGUUUUCGGAUCGUAAAGCUCUGUUGUUAGGGAAGCGGUACCUAACCAGAAAGGGACGGCUAACUACGUGCCAGCAGCCGCGGUAAGUC